rnacentral:rRNA from 1 species
UACAGAGGGGGCAAGCGUUAUUCGGAAUUAUUGGGCGUAAAGGGCGCGUAGGCGGCUUCGCAAGUGGAUGGUGAAAUCCCUCGGCUUAACCGAGGAACUGCCGUCCAAACUGCGUUGCUUGAGGCCGGGAGAGGCGAGUGGAAUUCCCAGUGUAGCGGUGAAAUGCGUAGAUAUUGGGAGGAACACCAGUGGCGAAGGCGGCUCGCUGGACCGGUUCUGACGCUGAUGCGCGAAAGCGUGGGGAGCAAACGGG